rnacentral:rRNA from 1 species
AUUCCAGCUCCAAUAGCGUAUAUUAAAGUUGUUGCAGUUAAAAAGCUCGUAGUUGGAUUUGUGGUGUACUUCGGCGGCCCGUCACUAUGUGAUGGAGCUUGCUGAAGUCGCCAUCCUUGGGUGGAUCCUGUGUGGCAUUAAGUUGUCGUGCAGGGGAUGCCCAUCGUUUACUGUGAAAAAAUUAGAGUGUUCAAAGCAGGCUUAUGCCGUUGAAUAUAUUAGCAUGGAAUAAUAAGAUAGGACCUUGGUACUAUUUUGUUGGUUUGCGCACCAAGGUAAUGAUUAAUAGGGACAGUUGGGGGUAUUCGUAUUCCAUUGUCAGAGGUGAAAUUCUUGGAUUUUUGGAAGACGAACUACUGCGAAAGCAUUUACCAAGGAUGUUUUCAUCA